UUAGGCAAACGGAGGAGAUAAAAAUUACUUUUCUUGAUUUCCUGGUCAGUCUUGGAGGAUUUCUUGGUUUGUUUGUUGGGAAAUCCUUGUUAGAUCUGGAGAGGAUUGCAGGAAUAUUCUUCAGCCUAUCAAGGAAACUAUUCAAAAUUUAAAUUAUGAAAAAUUUAUGAAUAUUAUUCGUCCAAGAUUAUAUAUUUGACUUUUCUACGUGUAAUAAAUGUUAAUUGUGAAA